CCUACGGGAGGCAGCAGUGAGGAAUAUUGGUCAAUGGCCGGAAGGCUGAACCAGCCAAGCCGCGUGAAGGACGAAGGUGCCACGCAUUGUAAACUUCUUUUGUCAAGGGACAAAAUCAGGCUCGCGAGCCUGCCCGCGGGUACUUGAAGAACAAGCAUCGGCUAACUCCGUGCCAGCAGCCGCGGUAAUACGGAGGAUGCGAGCGUUAUCCGUAUUUAUUGGGUUUAAAGGUUGGGUAGGCGGACUGUUAAGUCAGCGGUAAAAGCCCGGGGCUCAACCCCGGCGAGCCGUUGAAACUGGCUGUCGUGAGAUGGCGAGAGGUAGGCGGAAUGCGCAGUGUAGCGGUGAAAUGCUUAGAUAUUGCGCAGAACUCCGAUUGCGAAGGCAGCAUACCGGCGGCGAUCUGACGCUGAGGCACGAAAGCGUGGGUAUCGAACAGGAUUAGAUACCCCUGUAGUC
rnacentral:rRNA from 1 species